rnacentral:rRNA from 1 species
GACGAACGCUGGCGGCGUGCUUAACACAUGCAAGUCGAACGGAAAGGCCCUGCUUGCAGGGUACUCGAGUGGCGAACGGGUGAGUAACACGUGGGUGAUCUGCCCUGCACUUCGGGAUAAGCCUGGGAAACUGGGUCUAAUACCGGAUAGGAGCCAUUUUUAGUGUGAUGGUUGGAAAGUUUUUUCGGUGUAGGAUGAGCUCGCGGCCUAUCAGCUUGUUGGUGGGGUAAUGGCCUACCAAGGCGGCGACGGGUAGCCGGCCUGAGAGGGUGGACGGCCACAUUGGGACUGAGAUACGGCCCAGACUCCUACGGGAGGCAGCAGUGGGGAAUAUUGCACAAUGGGCGCAAGCCUGAUGCAGCGACGCCGCGUGGGGGAUGACGGCCUUCGGGUUGUAAACUCCUUUCGCUAGGGACGAAGCUUUUUGUGACGGUACCUAGAUAGGAAGCACCGGCUAACUACGUG